rnacentral:rRNA from 1 species
UAGAGUUUGAUCCUGGCUCAGAUUGAACGCUGGCGGCAGGCCUAACACAUGCAAGUCGAGCGGUAGAGAGAAGCUUGCUUCUCUUGAGAGCGGCGGACGGGUGAGUAAUGCCUAGGAAUCUGCCUGGUAGUGGGGGAUAACGUUCGGAAACGGACGCUAAUACCGCAUACGUCCUACGGGAGAAAGCAGGGGACCUUCGGGCCUUGCGCUAUCAGAUGAGCCUAGGUCGGAUUAGCUAGUUGGUGAGGUAAUGGCUCACCAAGGCGACGAUCCGUAACUGGUCUGAGAGGAUGAUCAGUCACACUGGAACUGAGACACGGUCCAGACUCCUACGGGAGGCAGCAGUGGGGAAUAUUGGACAAUGGGCGAAAGCCUGAUCCAGCCAUGCCGCGUGUGUGAAGAAGGUCUUCGGAUUGUAAAGCACUUUAAGUUGGGAGGAAGGGUUGUAGAUUAAUACUCUGCAAUUUUGACGUUACCGACAGAAUAAGCACCGGCUAACUCUGUGCCAGCAGCCGCGGUAAUACAGAGGGUGCAAGCGUUAAUCGGAAUUACUGGGCGUAAAGCGCGCGUAGGUGGUUUGUUAAGUUGGAUGUGAAAUCCCCGGGCUCAACCUGGGAACUGCAUUCAAAACUGACUGACUAGAGUAUGGUAGAGGGUGGUGGAAUUUCCUGUGUAGCGGUGAAAUGCGUAGAUAUAGGAAGGAACACCAGUGGCGAAGGCGACCACCUGGACUAAUACUGACACUGAGGUGCGAAAGCGUGGGGGAGCAAACAGGAUUAGAUACCCUGGUAGUCCACGCCGUAAACGAUGUCAACUAGCCGUUGGAAGCCUUGAGCUUUUAGUGGCGCAGCUAACGCAUUAAGUUGACCGCCUGGGGAGUACGGCCGCAAGGUUAAAACUCAAAUGAAUUGACGGGGGCCCGCACAAGCGGUGGAGCAUGUGGUUUAAUUCGAAGCAACGCGAAGAACCUUACCAGGCCUUGACAUCCAAUGAACUUUCUAGAGAUAGAUUGGUGCCUUCGGGAACAUUGAGACAGGUGCUGCAUGGCUGUCGUCAGCUCGUGUCGUGAGAUGUUGGGUUAAGUCCCGUAACGAGCGCAACCCUUGUCCUUAGUUACCAGCACGUUAUGGUGGGCACUCUAAGGAGACUGCCGGUGACAAACCGGAGGAAGGUGGGGAUGACGUCAAGUCAUCAUGGCCCUUACGGCCUGGGCUACACACGUGCUACAAUGGUCGGUACAGAGGGUUGCCAAGCCGCGAGGUGGAGCUAAUCCCAUAAAACCGAUCGUAGUCCGGAUCGCAGUCUGCAACUCGACUGCGUGAAGUCGGAAUCGCUAGUAAUCGCGAAUCAGAAUGUCGCGGUGAAUACGUUCCCGGGCCUUGUACACACCGCCCGUCACACCAUGGGAGUGGGUUGCACCAGAAGUAGCUAGUCUAACCUUCGGGAGGACGGUUACCACGGUGUGAUUCAUGACUGGGGUGAAGUCGUAACAAGGUAACC